GACGAACGCUGGCGGCGUGCCUAAUACAUGCAAGUAGAACGCUGAAGGAGGAGCUUGCUCUUCUGGAUGAGUUGCGAACGGGUGAGUAACGCGUAGGUAACCUGCCUGGUAGCGGGGGAUAACUAUUGGAAACGAUAGCUAAUACCGCAUAACAGUAGAUGUUGCAUGACAUUUACUUAAAAGGUGCACUUGCAUCACUACCAGAUGGACCUGCGUUGUAUUAGCUAGUUGGUGGGGUAACGGCUCACCAAGGCGACGAUACAUAGCCGACCUGAGAGGGGGGUCCGCCAACCCUGGAACGGGACAACGCCCCAGAUCCUUACGGGAGGCACCAGAGGGGAACUUCGGACAUGGGGGGAAGUCUGAACGAGGCAAGCCGGGGGGGGGGAGGAGGGUCUUCGGUCGUAAAGCUCCGUUGUAAGGGAAGAAAGAGUGUGAGAGUGGAAAGUUCACGCUGUGACGGUACCUUACCAGAAAGCGACGGCUAACUACGUG
rnacentral:rRNA from 1 species